rnacentral:rRNA from 1 species
GUCUGUGCGAAGGUAUGUAGAGUCUGGCCUGCCCACUGACUUAAUAUUGUUUGAAGGGCCGCGGUAUUUUGACCGUGCGAAGGUAGCAUAAUCAUUAGUCUUUUAAUUGAAGGCUUGUAUGAAUGGUCGGACAAAAAGUAAGCUGUCUUCAACUAUAAGAAUUGAAUUUGACUUUUAAGUUAAAAGGCUUAAAUAAUACAAAGUGACGAUAAGACCCUAUAAAGCUUUAAAGUUUAUUUUUUUAUUAUAAAUUAUAAAAUUGUAUAACUUAAUUUAAGAUGAAACUUUUUCGUUGGGGCGACGGAAAUAUAAAUAAAUAACUGUUUUUAUUUGAAUAAUACAAAUAUAUUUGGUUUUAGGAAUGAUCCUUUAUUAAAGAUUAAAAGAUUAAGUUACUUUAGGGAUAACAGCGUAAUCUUCUUUGAGAGUCCAUAUCGACAAGAAGGGUUGCGACCUCGAUGUUGAAUUAAGGUUCCUUUAUGGUGUAGCAGUUAUAAUUGGAGGUCUGUUCGACCUUUAAAUCCUUACAUGAUUUGAGUUCAGACCGGCGUAAG